UACGGAGGGUGCAAGCGUUAUCCGGAUUCACUGGGCUUAAAGGGUGCGUAGGUGGAUUGGUAAGUCAGUGGUGAAAUCUCCGGGCUUAACCCGGAAACUGCCAUUGAUACUAUCAGUCUUGAAUACCGUGGAGGUCAGUAGAAUAUGUCAUGUAGCGGUGAAAUGCUUAGAUAUGACAUAGAAUACCAAUUGCGAAGGCAGCUGGCUACACGAAUAUUGACACUCAGGCACGAAAGCGUGGGGAUCAAACAGG
rnacentral:rRNA from 1 species